GCACCCUUAGCUCAGUGGAUAGAGCAACAGCCUUCUAAGCUGCAGGUCAUACGUUCGAAUCGUAUAGGGUGCACCA
rnacentral:tRNA from 1 species